ACUUAGCGCUUUAAUUUUGGUGGUUAUUUUCUACUAAAGAAAAUACCUUAAAAGGGAAUCAGGUGCUUAUUUUUUUUAAUAUUCCUGAGCUGUUCCCGCAACUGUAAGCUUUGUUCGGUUAACCGAACGGUGAAAAUCGCUCUUACACCACUGUCAUUACGAUGGGAAGGUUGAUUUUUAUACGCGAGCCAGGAGACCUGCCAGAAGUAACUAUAAACU
rnacentral:ncRNA from 2 species